GACGUAGGGCGCGAGCGUUGUCCGGAUUUACUGGGCGUAAAGCGCGUUCAGGCGGUUCGGCAAGUCGGGCGUGAAAUCUCUCGGCUCAACCGGGAGAGGUUGUCCGAUACUGCUGGACUUGAGGGCAGUAGAGGGUGGUGGAAUUCCGGGUGUAGUGGUGAAAUGCGUAGAUAUCCGGAGGAACACCAGUGGCGAAAGCGGCCACCUGGACUGUACCUGACGCUCAAACGCGAAAGCUAGGGGAGCGAACGGG
rnacentral:rRNA from 1 species